rnacentral:tRNA from 1 species
GCUGGUACAGUGGUGAGCAGAGCUGCCUUUCAAGCAGUUGACCCAGGUUCGAUUCCUGGCCAGUGCA